AGCCAGAGGAGCCCUGAGCAAGGCUCCUGGUCCAAAGCAGGGCUCUCCAAGCUGUGAUGUGCAUACCACUAGCGGGACACAAACCACUUCCAGAUGGCAGAGGAAGGAAGGCAGCUCCUCCACUCCUGUGUGGAGCUGCUUGUAAAGCUCCGGGUGCCACGCUGGAGUCUCAAAGCCCAGUUGCUCUGCACAAGCUGAUAAAAACUCCAUGGAUUUUAUGGGUCAGAUUUACCUCAGUAGAGCUGAGCAACUUCCAGAUUAUUGUGCCUAGAUUUUGUCCUACAUUUUAAAGGAGCUGACUGAGCUGGGAGAGUUUUCCUUUCAGUCACACUGUACAGAAACACCUGAGGCAUUCAGGUAUGCAUGCCCUGCUUAUUUUCUGUCAGGACUUGUUGCAUUAACAUCGAAGGACUAUCCUUUAACAUCAGCUCCUGUUUUUCCCAUAUGUGAAACAAGGAGAGCUCCCAGUCUUUUGUAAUUCUGGAUUUGGGGGGUUUAUAAGUGAUAAAUUUCAUGUAAAUAAUGUGAAUGAAAGAUUUAAACUAGUGUGGAAUAUAAUAUUCCUCUUUAAAAAAAAAAUAAAAGCUCUAUUUAUUUAGACA
rnacentral:lncRNA from 1 species